GACAAACGCUGGCGGCAUGCCUAACACAUGCAAGUCGAACGGACAGAACAGGUAAGCUUUUCGGGGUGGAACUGGAAAGUUAGGUGCGGAUGGGGGAGUAACGCGGGGACAACCGACCUUGUAAAGGGGAAUAACCUCGAGAAAUCGAAGCUAAUACCCCGUAAUAGCCUUGCUUCGCAUGAAGUAAGGAGGAAAGGCGGCCUUAGCGCUGUCGAUACAAGGUGGGGCCGCGUCUGAUUAGCUAGUUGGUGGGGUAAAGGCUCACCAAGGCGACGAUCCGUAGCCGGUCUGAGAGGAUGAACGGCCACACUGGGACUGAGACACGGCCCAAACUCCUACGGGAGGCAGCAGUGGGGAAUCUUCCGCAAUGGGGGAAAGCCUGACGGAGCCAUGCCGCGUGAGUGAAGAAGGCCUUCGGGUUGUAAAACUCUGUUCUUCGCGAAGAGAGCCUGUUGUAGUAUCUGACGAGGCUAGGACGGUAGCUGAGGAGGAAGCACCGGCUAACUACGUG
rnacentral:rRNA from 1 species